GCAUCGUCAUUGCUUCUGUUUGUACGUUGGUCACGAUUCUUCAUUUCUGUUGAUGAUCCAUCAUGGUCCGCUCAAUGUACAGUAAAUCACCAUAAAAAGGGAAACAAUUCUGUUAAGAAGCGCAACGAUAGGACUUGCAUGCAAAUGGUUUGAACGCUAAAUUUGACUUAAGUUGUAAAUAAACGAUACGACUUGCAUGCAAAUGCGAGAAUGAGAGUGAUUAUAGUACACAUAUGAAAUGCGGUGGCAUACCUAAUGAGUAAUGCAUAAACAAUAAAUAGCAUUCUCUUAAUUGUGUAGAACAUAAAUAACAG